rnacentral:rRNA from 1 species
AUUGAACGCUGGCGGCAGGCCUAACACAUGCAAGUCGAACGAGUGGCGGACGGGUGAGUAAUGUCUGGGAAACUGCCUGAUGGAUGGGGAUAACUACUGGAAACGGUAGCUAAUACCGCAUACCAUCAGAUGUGCCCAGAUGGGAUUAGCUUGUUGGGGGGGUAACGGCUCACCAAGGCGACGAUCCCUAGCUGGUCUGAGAGGAUGACCAGGAGAACUGGAACUGAGAAACGGUCCAGACUCCUACGGGAGGCAGGCGGGGGGAAUAUGGGACAAUGGGCGCAAGCCUGAAGCAGCCAUGCCGCGUGUAUGAAGAAGGGCUUCGGGGUGUAAAGUACUUUCAGCGGGGAGGCGGUACCCGGAGAAGAAGCACCGGCUAACUCCGUGCCAGCAGCCGCGGUAAUUC